rnacentral:rRNA from 1 species
UACGUAGGGUGCGAGCGUUGUCCGGAAUUAUUGGGCGUAAAGGGCUCGUAGGCGGUUUGUCGCGUCGGGAGUGAAAUCCACUGGCUUAACUGGUGGCUUGCUUUCGAUACGGGCAGACUGGAGGUAUGCAGGGGAGAACGGAAUUCCUGGUGUAGCGGUGAAAUGCGCAGAUAUCAGGAGGAACACCGGUGGCGAAGGCGGUUCUCUGGGCAUGUCCUGACGCUGAGGAGCGAAAGUGUGGGGAGCGAAUGGG